UAGGGUUCGAUUCCGGAGAGGGAGCCUGAGAAACGGCUACCACAUCUACGGAAGGCAGCAGGCGCGCAAAUUGCCCAAUCCCGACACGGGGAGGCAGUGACAAGAAAUAACAACUCUUGGAUUUCUAAGAAGUGUAAUGAGGAUAAUUUACAACCCUUACCGAAAGCAAUUGGAGGGCAAGUCUGGUGCCAGCAGCAAUA
rnacentral:rRNA from 1 species